GAGUCUCACUUAUAUUUGAAAGGUUAAAAUCAGGAGGGGCAUGUAUGCAUUGCGAUCCCUGCAAAAUUCUGUAACCAAAAGCAGAAUUGCGAAAUACAUCAACCCUAAGGAAUAUGCUUAUGUAGGUAUCUCCUCUCUAACACAACCCAUUAGGAAUAGUAGAAUGCAAGCGACCUUUACACUAAAAACAAUGCCAGUCACUUGCAUUUCUGAUUAGGAGCCGAUUCCAAUUUUUAUUUUUUUGUCAAGAAGAGACAGCAAGGGAAAGUGAAGAACAGUAGAUUUUACCUGUGGAUUUAGCAAAAUUAUAGAUCAUCGAACAUAGAUAACGAGGUCUGAAGUUGAACCAAUGGAUUGUACAGCUGCAAGAAGGACACAAAAGGCUGACCGAGAAAAGCUGAGGAGGGAUCGACUCAAUGAACAAUUUGUAACGCUGGUCAACAUUUUAGAUCCUGAUAGGCCCAAAAAUGACAAAGCAACCGUUAUAGAUGAUACCAUUCAAUUGCUACAGGACCUUACUUCUCAAGUUAGUAAACUUAAAGAUGAAUAUGCUGCACUAAAUGAAGAAUCUUGUGAGUUGGCUCGCGAGAAAAAUGAUCUUAGAGAAGAAAAGGCUUCUCUUAAAUCAGAUAUUGAGAAGUUGAGUUGUCAGUAUCAGCAACAGCUCAGGACUGUGUCUCCAUGGACUGCAAUGGAUCAUUCAGUAAUGGUAGUUCCACCAUCAUAUCCAUAUCCAGUGCCAAUGCCAAUACCUCCUUCUCCAAUUGCUAUGCAGCCAUACCCCUUCUAUGCUAAUCAACAUUCUGCUAUUAUCCCUAACCCUUGUUCAACAUAUGUUCCUUAUUUAGUCCCUAAUACCCUUGUUGAACAGCAAUCCAUCCAGCACAUUGCCCCACCUCUUCAUCCAGGUUUCCAGUCCCACAUGUCGGGUAAACUAGAGUCCAGAAACAAAUGCAAGGAGAGCAUGGUUGAGAAACAUGAGGAUUCAAAUGAUGUCACUGCAGACCGGACUUCCGGGUGUUCUGCAGACCAGGAUUUGUCAUCUGGGCAAAUAAAAUCUAGCGAAUUGUCAAGGAGGCAAAGCAUUUGCACUGAAGUGAGUUCGUUAGGUAGGUGCUUGUCAUCUAGGAGCGUUCAGGAGAGUUCAUCAAGUAGUGUAGUUCACGAGCACAAAGAAUAAUGAAUGAGAAAGGGAACAAUGUCAGUCAAGUCUUAUCUCUUUUGAAUUGAAGUCAUUAUGGAGUUUCUCCAGUGUUUAGCUACUACUACUAUCUGGAGAAAGAAACAGUGGUUGAGCAGAAGUUGCACUCAAAGAAUAUAUACCAAAGCCAGUCUGAUAUCAGAAGCUAAAUAUGCUUAUAUAAAUGCUAGAAGACCACCUAGUGUGCUUAUGAUAUAAUUUAGUUAUUCUCUGCAAAUUGCAUUGAUUGAGAAAAAAAGAGAGAAGAAUGGGAUGGUUCUACCCUAAGAAAAGUGCAGAAUGGAAGGAACGCUCAUUGACAGAGCAGACCAUGGAGACUGCUUCUCUUUCUCUAAAUCUUCAUUUAUUUGUGAUAUUUGGCAUUGUCCUUGGCUUGUUGUGGCUCUCCCAUUACACCACCUACAAAGCUCAGCAGAAUCACAUAGCCCUUUACGUUCAGUUAUUCUUGUCUCUUUCGCCAAUCCUAUUGAUACUCUUCUUGCUCUCAUAUUCCACCUGUGGAAGGCUAAACUUUUGCUUCAUGCCUUCGAUGCACAAGUCACUCCAACGAGCUGCGGUGUCUCCCUGGAAUCUUGCAGCUACUACCGCCACUGUUAUCACUUUGUUACUGAUCUUUAUUUUAUUCUAAGUCGAUUUUAGGAUCUCUCAGAGAAGGAGACAGAAAUUCCAUAUGGUAUUACCGCACAACACAAGUAUAAGGAAGCUUUUGUCACAAAUUUUAUGUUCUUUGUUCGUUUCAAGUCAUAUACACACAUAUGCUGUUAACAUCACUGAAUUAUUUGCUGAUAUUCUGUAUGUAAAUUAAUUUGAAGUCCUCUCACUUGUGAAAAAAGUGGAAUUUAAUCUC